rnacentral:rRNA from 1 species
AGUGGGGAAUAUUGGACAAUGGACGAAAGUCCGAUCCAGCGACACCGCGUGGGGGAUGAAGGCUUUCGGGUUGUAAACCCCUUUUCUGGGGGAAGAAUAAGGUUGGGAGGAAAUGCCCAUCCGAUGACGGUACUCCAGGAAUAAGCAUCGGCAAACUUCGUGCCAGCAGCCGCGGUAAGACGAGGGAUGCAAGCGUUAUCCGGAAUUACUGGGCGUAAAGGACGUCUAGGCGGUUGGAUAAGUCAUUUGUGAAAUCCCAGGGCUUAACCCUGGAAGGUCUUGUGAUACUGUCCAGCUUGGGUGUAGGAGAGGAGAGCGGAACUCACAGAGUAGCGGUGGAAUGCGUAGAUACUGUGAGGUACCCCGAUGGCGAAGGCAGCUCUCUGGCCUAUUACCGACGCUGAAGCGUGAAAGCGUGGGGAGCAAAGGGGAUUAGAUACCCCCGUAGUCCACGCCCCAAACGAUGUUCACUUGGUGUCGGGAGCCUAUAUAUCUCGGUGCCGGAGCUAACGCGUUAAGUGAACCGCCUGAGGAGUACGGCCGCAAGGCUAAAACUCAAGAGAAUUGACGGGUCCCCGCACAAGCGGUGGAGCACGUGGUUUAAUUCGAUGAUAAGCGAAGAACCUCACCUGGGCUUGACAUACUAGUGGUAGGAACCUGAAAGGGUAACGACCCUGCCUUCGGGUAGGGAGCUAGUACAGGUGAUGCAUGGCUGUCGUCAGCUCGUGUCGUGGGAUGUAGGGUUAAGUCCCGAAACGAGCGCAACCCUUGUCACUAGUUGCCAGCGGAUAAUGCCGGGGACUCUAGUGAGACUGCUGGUGAAUAGCCGGAGGAAGGCGGGGAUGACGUCAAGUCAUCAUGUCCCUUAUGCCCAGGGCGACACACAUGCUACAAUGGGAGGUACAAAGGGUUGCAAUACGGUAACGUGGAGCUAAUCUCAAAAAGCCUCCCCCAGUUCGGAUUGUGGUCUGCAACUCGACCACAUGAAGCCGGAAUCGCUAGUAAUCGUAGGUCAGCCAUACUACGGUGAAUAUGUACUCGGGGAUUGUACACACCGCCCGUCACACCAACCGAGUGGGGGGUACCUGAAGUCGCUCUUUUGAGGGCGCCUAAGGUAACUCUCGCAAGAGGGGUG